rnacentral:lncRNA from 1 species
CAGGUCCCACAAAUUAUGGCGUGUAAUAUAUUUAAGAGGCUAGGGAGAGAAAAAAUUUAUUUGGUGCAAACACGUCCCAUGCGACGUCCCAUUGUUUUCCACCAAGAUUAAAUUCUUCUAUGUGAAAAAUAAUGGGUGUGGAAGAGCCUUCAAGCAGAAGGACUCCUCCACUUCUAUGCCAACAUAUCUCAAGAAGCCAUCAGAUGGCAUGUGGAGUA